UAGGGAAUCUUCCACAAUGGACGAAAGUCUGAUGGAGCAACGCCGCGUGAGUGAAGAAGGUUUUCGGAUCGUAAAACUCUGUUGUUGGAGAAGAACGUAUUUGAUAGUAACUGAUCAGGUAGUGACGGUAUCCAACCAGAAAGCCACGGCUAACUACGUGCCAGCAGCCGCGGUAAUACGUAGGUGGCAAGCGUUGUCCGGAUUUAUUGGGCGUAAAGCGAGCGCAGGCGGUUUCUUAAGUCUGAUGUGAAAGCCUUCGGCUCAACCGAAGAAGUGCAUCGGAAACUGGGAAACUUGAGUGCAGAAGAGGACAGUGGAACUCCAUGUGUAGCGGUGAAAUGCGUAGAUAUAUGGAAGAACACCAGUGGCGAAGGCGGCUGUCUGGUCUGUAACUGACGCUGAGGCUCGAAAGCAUGGGUAGCAAACAGG
rnacentral:rRNA from 2 species